ACGGAGGGGGCUAGCGUUGUUCGGAAUUGCUGGGCAUAAAGCGCACGUAGGCGGCUUUGUAAGUUAGAGGUGAAAGCCCGGGGCUCAACUCCGGAAUUGCCUUUAAGACUGCAUCGCUAGAAUUGUGGAGAGGUAAGUGGAAUUCCGAGUGUAGAGGUGAAAUUCGUAGAUAUUCGGAAGAACACCAGUGGCGAAGGCGGCGCACUGGACCAUAACUGACGCUGAUGCGCGAAAGCUAGGGGAGCAAACAGGA
rnacentral:rRNA from 1 species